ACGGCUCAGUAACACGUAGUCAACAUGCCCAGGGGACGUGGAUAACCUCGGGAAACUGAGGCUAAACCGCGACAGGCCAAGAUUUCUGGAAUGGAUCAUGGCUUAAAUCUAUAUGGCCCCUGGAUUGGACUGCGGCCGAUCAGGCUGUUGGUGAGGUAAUGGCCCACCAAACCUGUAACCGGUACGGGCUCUGAGAGGAGGAGCCCGGAGAUGGGCACUUAGACAAGGGCCCAGGCCCUAUGGGGCGCAGCAGGCGCGAAACCUCUGCAAUAGGCGAAAGCUUGACAGGGUUACUCUGAGUGAUUCCCGCUAAGGGAAUCUUUUGGCAUCUCUAAAAACGAUGCAGAAUAAGGGGUGGGCAAGUCUGGUGUCAGCCGCCGCGGUAAUACCAGCACCCCGAGUGGUCGGGACGAUUAUUGGGCCUAAAGCAUCCGUAGCCGGACUUGCAAGUCUUCCGUUAAAUCCACCUGCUUAACAGAUGGGCUGCGGAAGAUACUACAAGACUAGGAGGCGGGAGAGGCAAGCGGUACUCAGUGGGUAGGGGUAAAAUCCUCUGAUCCAUUGAAGACCACCAGUGGCGAAGGCGGCUUGCCAGAACGCGCUCGACGGUGAGGGAUGAAAGCUGGGGGAGCAAACCGGAUUAGAUACCCGGGUAGUCCCAGCUGUAAACGAUGCAGACUCGGUGAUGGGCCGGCUUCAUGCCGGCUCAGUGCCGCAGGGAAGCCGUUAAGUCUGCCGCCUGGGGAGUACGGUCGCAAGACUGAAACUUAAAGGAAUUGGCGGGGGAGCAC
rnacentral:rRNA from 1 species